UACAGAGGUCCCAAGCGUUGUUCGGAUUCAUUGGGCGUAAAGGGUGCGUAGGUGGCGCCGUAAGUGGGGUGUGAAAUUUCGGAGCUUAACUCCGAAACUGCAUUCCAUACUGCGGUGCUUGAGGACUGGAGAGGAGACUGGAAUUCAUGGUGUAGCAGUGAAAUGCGUAGAGAUCAUGAGGAAGACCAGUGGCGAAGGCGGGUCUCUGGACAGUUCCUGACACUGAGGCACGAAGGCCAGGGGAGCGAACGGG
rnacentral:rRNA from 1 species